GUGCCAUGUAGAUCUUUAUAGUUCAUUUUCUGUCAAAGGAACUGCUUUAAAGGUUAACAAAAUCCAGUUACUCUUGAAUGUACAGGUUCAGACUCAGAAAAGGAAGACCUGGAGUUACCACUGUGUGAUCUGGCUACUGUUACAAAUGCUACUAAUAACUUUUCUUACACAAAUAUGAUUGGAAAGGGUGGAUUUGGCCCUGUUUACAAGGAUACACUGCCAGUGGGACAAGAAGUAGCAGUUAAGAGGCUUUCAAAUAAUACUGGACAAGGGCUUCAAGAGUUCAAGAAUGAAGUCAUUCUGAUUUCCAAACUCCAACACUGAAAUGUUGUUAGGCUCUUGGGUUGCUCUAUUGAAAAGGAAGAAAGGAUUCUAAUCUAGGAGUAUAUGGCCAACAAAAGUUUGGACUAUUUCAUUUUUGGUCUAAGCCUCUAAACCCUUUAUCUAUUGUAACAAGUUUGAUUUUCAUAAGGACAGAAGCACUAUACUGCCUUGGCAAAAGCACUUUGACAUUGUCAUGGGAGUUGCACGAGGACUUCUUUACCUCCACUGGGACUCUAGAUUUAGAAAUCAUCCAUAGAGAUCUCAAAACCAGCAAUAUAUUACUAGACAGUGAGCUGAAUCCCGAAAUUUCAGAUUUUGGCAUAGAAAGAAUUUUUGGAUAAGCUGAAGCAAGAACCAAACGAGUGAUUGGAACAUAGUAAGUUCUAUAUUCAUAAACCAGAAAAAUCUGUUCAUGAUUUCCAACUACUCAAGUCUGAAAAUUUUAUGGGCUAUAUAUGUGAGUCCAGUUCUGCCAAUGUCUGACUGAUGCUUGUAUAACUAUGGAUUUUCCUUUCUGUCUGGGCUGACCCUUGUACUCACUAACUGUCAAUCAAUGUCAACAUCCAUAUUUUUAUUUUAGAGGGAAACAAUUCAUUGUACCAUAUCAGUUUGUUCAACAGUAUAUGAAAUUUAGACCGUGUAUGUGAGUUACCAGUGGUUAUCAUCAUUUGAAUCAUUUUAGCCUCAUUUUACUAUAUAUAUUC